UUAAGUUCAGCGGGUAAUCCUACCCGAUUUGAGGUCAAACACUUAACGUAACACUGUCCUCGCGGACGGUUAGAAGCAACCCUUCACAGCUUCAAAACCCAGCGAGUGACUUAUCACACCGGGCAAGCAGAAGCCAUUACUAAGGCCAGCUAAUGCAUUUCGGACGAGCUGAAACCAGGCCAGCAAACAAACGUCCAAGU
rnacentral:misc_RNA from 1 species